GUUAGCGCCUCUUCAAAGUCUCUGUGGCACUGCAUUUGGAAGCUUCUAAAGGCUGCCUGCAUUCCUUGGCUCAUGGCCUGCAUCAUUCCAACUUUGCUUCUGUCAUCACAUCUCUUCUAACUCUGACGCUCCUGCAUCCCUCUAUAACAACGCUUGUGAUUACGUUAGGUCCACCUCAUAAUCCAAAUUUAUAACUCUAGUAUAAAGGUUAAAAAACAAAGAAUAUUAAAGGUCAUUGUUGAGAGACAAAAUGAGAUCAUGUCUGGGAAAAUACUUCUAAAUUAUCAACUCCCUUUCUAUGGAAGAGGAUGACCAAAGAAGGAUGCACUCCUUGUCUGGAAUUAUGCCAGAGGUCUUAAAAUGCUCAGAAAUGAAAUCAGCCUUCUUCCCUGUCCUAAGAGGCUCAGGUUUUCGGCAAGUAACUCAUAAAAUUAAUGCUCCACUGAAAAUAAAAUCUGAUUUGAGUAGU
rnacentral:lncRNA from 10 species